GUCAGGAUGGCCGAGUGGUCUAAGGCGCCAGACUCAAGGUUCUACCUUCCUCGCUGAGUGUUCUGGUCUCCGUAUGGAGGCGUGGGUUCAAAUCCCACUUCUGACA
rnacentral:tRNA from 1 species